rnacentral:rRNA from 1 species
UAGGGAAUCUUCCACAAUGGACGAAAGUCUGAUGGAGCAACGCCGCGUGCAGGAUGAAGGCCUUCGGGUUGUAAACUGCUUUUAUGGGUGACGAUUAUGACGGUAACCCAUGAAUAAGGAUCGGCUAAUUCCGUGCCAGCAGCCGCGGUCAUACGGAAGAUCCGAGCGUUAUCCGGAAUUACUGGGCGUAAAGAGAUGCGUAGGUGGUAAGUUAAGCGAAUAGUGAAAUCAUCCGGCUCAACCGGGUGACUGUUAUUCGAACUGACUCGCUAGAGUACGAGAGAGGAAGCUGGAAUUCCUGGUGUAGGAGUGAAAUCCGUAGAUAUCAGGAGGAACACCAAUGGCGAAGGCAGGCUUCUGGCUCGUUACUGACACUGAGGCUCGAAAGCGUGGGGAGCGAACGGGAUUAGAUACCCCCGUAGUCC